GACGAACGCUGGCGGCGUGCUUAACACAUGCAAGUCGAGCGGUAAGGCCCUUUCGGGGGUACACGAGCGGCGAACGGGUGAGUAACACGUGGGUGACCUGCCCUCAGCUCUGGGAUAAGCCUGGGAAACCGGGUCUAAUACUGGAUAUGACUCCAUGACGCAUGUUGUGGGGUGGAAAGCCUUGUGCGGCUGAGGAUGGGCCCGCGGCCUAUCAGCUUGUUGGUGGGGUGANGGCCUACCAAGGCGACGACGGGUAGCCGGCCUGAGAGGGCGACCGGCCACACUGGGACUGAGACACGGCCCAGACUCCUACGGGAGGCAGCAGUGGGGAAUCUUGCGCAAUGGGCGAAAGCCUGACGCAGCAACGCCGCGUGAGGGAUGACGGCCUGG
rnacentral:rRNA from 1 species